rnacentral:rRNA from 1 species
CGUGCAGGCGGUUUGGUAAGUUGGAUGUGAAAGCUCCUGGCUUAACUGGGAGAGGUCGUUCAAUACUGCCAAACUAGAGGACGGUAGAGGAAGGUAGAAUUCCUGGUGUAGUGGUGAAAUGCGUAGAUAUCAGGAGGAAUACCAGAGGCGAAGGCGGCCUUCUGGGCCGUUCCUGACGCUAAGACGCGAAAGCAUGGGUAGCAAACAGGAUUAGAUACCCUGGUAGUCC